AUUGAACGCUGGCGGCAUGCCUUACACAUGCAAGUCGAACGGCAGCACGGGUGCUUGCACCUGGUGGCGAGUGGCGAACGGGUGAGUAAUGCAUCGGAACGUACCCGGAAGUGGGGGAUAACGUAGCGAAAGUUACGCUAAUACCGCAUAUUCUGUGAGCAGGAAAGAAGGGGAUCGCAAGACCUCUCGCUUUCGGAGCGGCCGAUGUCGGAUUAGCUAGUUGGCGGGGUAAGAGCCCACCAAGGCGACGAUCCGUAGCGGGUCUGAGAUGAUGAUCCCCCUCACUGGGGCUGAGACACGGCCCAGACUCCUACGGGAGGCAGCAGUGGGGAAUUUUGGACAAGGGGCGCAAGCCUGAUCCAGCCAUGCCGCGUGAGUGAAGAAGGCCUUCGGGUUGUAAAGCUCUUUCGGCUGGGAAGAAAUCGCAUCUCCUAAUACGGGGUGUGGAUGACGGUACCAGCAUAAGAAGCACCGGCUAACUACGUGCCAGCCGCCGCAGUAAUAC
rnacentral:rRNA from 1 species